rnacentral:rRNA from 1 species
CACGUAGGGGCCGAGCGUUGUCCGGAGUUACUGGGCGUAAAGGGCGCGCAGGCGGUCGCGUGGGCCUGGCGUGAAAGCCCCCGGCUCAACCGGGGAGGGUCGUCGGGGACCGCGCGACUUGAGGGCGGGAGGGGCCGGUGGAAUCCCCGGUGUAGUGGUGAAAUGCGUAGAGAUCGGGGGGAACACCCGUGGCGAAGGCGGCCGGCUGGGCCGACCCUGACGCUGAGGCGCGAAGGCGUGGGGAGCGAACGGG